GAUGAACGCUGGCGGCGUGCCUAAUACAUGCAAGUCGAACGGAGUUGUUGUAGCAAUACGGCAACUCAGUGGCGAACGGGUGAGUAACGCGUUGGUGACCUGCCCCGAAGAGGGGGAUAACAGUCCGAAAGGAUUGCUAAUACCCCAUGUGGUCAUCGGUUUUAGAAUCUGGUGACCAAAGUCGUAAGACACUUUGGGAGGGACCUGCGUCCCAUCAGCUAGUUGGUAAGGUAACGGCCUACCAAGGCUAUGACGGGUAGGGGACCUGAGAGGGUGGACCCCCACAAUGGCACUGAAACACGGGCCAUACACCUACGGGUGGCAG
rnacentral:rRNA from 1 species